CCUACGGGUGGCAGCAGUGAGGAAUAUUGGUCAAUGGGCGUAAGCCUGAACCAGCCAAGUCGCGUGCGGGAUGAAGGUUCUAUGGAUCGUAAACCUCUUUUAUAAGGGAGUAAAGUGUGGGACGUGUCCUGUGUUGUAUGUACUUUAUGAAUAAGGAUCGGCUAACUCCGUGCCAGCAGCCGCGGUAAUACGGAGGAUCCGAGCGUUAUCCGGAUUUAUUGGGUUUAAAGGGUGCGUAGGCGGCCUUUUAAGUUAGCGGUGAAAGUCGGUGGCUCAACCAUAGAAGUGCCGUUGAAACUGGGAGGCUUGAGAAUUUUUGAGGUAGGCGGAAUGCGUGGUGUAGCGGUGAAAUGCUUAGAUAUCACGCAGAACCCCGAUUGCGAAGGCAGCCUGCCAAGCCAUGACUGACGCUGAGGCACGAAAGCGUGGGGAUCAAACAGGAUUAGAUACCCGGGUAGUC
rnacentral:rRNA from 1 species